GAUGAACGCUGGCGGCGUGCUUAACACAUGCAAGUCGAACGAAGCACCUUAUUCUGAUUUCUUCGGAAUGAAAAAUUUGGUGACUGAGUGGCGGACGGGUGAGUAACGCGUGGGUAACCUGCCUCAUACAGGGGGAUAACAGUUAGAAAUGACUGCUAAUACCGCAUAAGACCACAGCACCGCAUGGUGCAGGGGUAAAAACUCCGGUGGUAUGAGAUGGACCCGCGUCUGAUUAGGUAGUUGGUGGGGUAACGGCCUACCAAGCCGACGAUCAGUAGCCGACCUGAGAGGGUGACCGGCCACAUUGGGACUGAGACACGGCCCAAACUCCUACGGGAGGUAGCAGUGGGGAAUAUUGCACAAUGGGGGAAACCCUGAUGCAGCGACGCCGCGUGAGCGAUGAAGUAUUUCGGUAUGUAAAGCUCUAUCAGCAGGGAAGAAAAUGACGGUACCUGACUAAGAAGCACCGGCUAAAUACGUGCCAGCCGCCGCCGUAAGAC
rnacentral:rRNA from 1 species